UUGAGAGUUUGAUCCUGGCUCAGAACGAACGCUGGCG
rnacentral:rRNA from 14 species